AGCAGCCGCCGCGGUAAUACGUAGGUGGCAAACGUUGUCCGGAUUUAUUGGGCGUAAAGCGAGCGCAGGCGGUCAAUUAAGUCUGAUGUGAAAGCCCCCGGCUCAACCGGGGAGGGUCAUUGGAAACUGUUAAACUUGAGUGCAGGAGAGAAAAGUGGAAUUCCUAGUGUAGCGGUGAAAUGCGUAGAGAUUAGGAGGAACACCAGUGGCGAAGGCGGCUUUUUGGCCUGUAACUGACACUGAGGCGCGAAAGCGUGGGGAGCAAACAGGAUUAGAUACCCGAGUAGUCCCUGUCUCUUAUAC
rnacentral:rRNA from 1 species